rnacentral:rRNA from 1 species
UACGGAGGGAGCUAGCGUUGUUCGGAAUUACUGGGCGUAAAGCGUACGUAGGCGGUUAUUCAAGUCAGAGGUGAAAGCCCGGGGCUCAACCCCGGAACUGCCUUUGAAACUAGAUAGCUAGAAUCUUGGAGAGGUCAGUGGAAUUCCGAGUGUAGAGGUGAAAUUCGUAGAUAUUCGGAAGAACACCAGUGGCGAAGGCGACUUACUGGACACAUAUUGACGCUGAGGUGCGAAAGCGUGGGGAGCAAACAGG